GAAGCUCUCUUAAUAUUUGCCCCUUCCUUUUCACUUCCUUCAUGUGGUCUCAUUUUCUGGUAUUAAAACCCCCCAAAAUCCUUAAUAGAAACCCGUGAACUUGCAAAUCUAUCUGCCCCUGUUUGUUAUGUCUUGAAAGGAGUUUUCUUUAUACUGUUUUUUUUUGUGUGUGUGUAACUUAUGAAGAAAGAUCUGCGUUCGCAUUGGAGUUUAAGGAAGACGAUGGCUGGCAAUGGGAUGUUAUACCCAAUUCUUGGAUUUGCUUCGUGUAUGGCUUUUAUUUAUAUGUCUUUUGGUGAUUUGAAGCUUAGUAGUUUCCCUAGGGAACGGGGAUUAAGUUUUGUGGAAAGGAAUGGGACUCAUUUCUUUUUAGAUGGGAAAUCAUUGUACGUUAAUGGCUGGAAUUCUUACUGGUUAAUGUCCCAUUCUGUGGAGGAAAAUACUAGACCUAAGGUCAGUGCAAUGCUUCAAGCUGGUGCAAGGAUGGGGUCUCACUGUUUGUAGAACCUGGGCCUUUAAUGAUGGUGGCUAUAAUGCUCUCCAGAUUUCCCCAGGGCAAUUUAAUGAGCGAGUUUUCAAGGCCUUGGAUUAUGUCAUUGCAGAAGCAAGGCAGCAUGGAGUCAGGCUGCUUCUGAGCUUAGUAAAUAAUUUGCAGCCAUAUGGUGGAAAGACGUAGUAUGUCAACUGGGCGUGGCAAGAAGGCAUUGGUUUGAGAUCUUCUAACGAUUCCUUCUUCUAUGAUCCAUCAAUCCGCAAAUAUUUCAAGAAUUACGUCCUGUAGGUCAAGAAAUUCAAAGACAAGGGACACAGUCAACAACCAACUACAACUGUUGAUCAGAAAAGAGCCUUUCCAAAGCGUUCAGCUGAUGGCGCCAGUGAUGGAUUUGUUACUUCCGCUAGGGGCCUCUUCAACAAUCAACGGCGCAAAGCCAAACAAUUUGUGUUACGAACUAUGAGGGGUGAAGAGGAGGGUGACCAGCAGGGUCAGUUGAGUGAUGGCGAUGCAUCUACUGCAAGGUAAAGUCAGUGCUACUUACCUAGACAUUAGAUGCAUUUGGUGGAGAGUCAUAGGCUUUGGUUUCAAUUCUUCUUUGUACAGCAUAGAUAGUACAGCUCAUGGCUAAUUCGAGCAGGGAGCAGUAACUAAUUUUAUGUGAACUAGGACUAUUGUUGAAUUCAU